rnacentral:misc_RNA from 1 species
GAUGAAGAACGUAGCGAAAUGCGAUAAGUAAUGUGAAUUGCAGAAUUCAGUGAAUCAUCGAAUCUUUGAACGCACAUUGCGCCCGCCAGUAUUCUGGCGGGCAUACCUGUCUGAGCGUCAUUUCAACCCUCAUGCCCCUAGGGCGUGGUGUUGGGGAUCGGCCAAAGCCCGCGAGGGACGGCCGGCCCCUAAAUCUAGUGGCGGACCCGUCGUGGCCUCCUCUGCGAAGUAGUGAUAUUCCGCAUCGGAGAGCGAUGAGCCCCUGCCGUUAAACCCCCAACUUUCCAAGGUUGACCUCAGAUCAGGUAGGAAUACCCGCUGAACUUAAGCAUAUCAAUGAGCGGAGGA